rnacentral:rRNA from 1 species
GACGAACGCUGGCGGCGUGCUUAACACAUGCAAGUCGAACGGAAAGGCCCUGCUUUUGUGGGGUGCUCGAGUGGCGAACGGGUGAGUAACACGUGAGUAACCUGCCCUUGACUUUGGGAUAACUUCAGGAAACUGGGGCUAAUACCGGAUAGGAGCUCCUGCUGCAUGGUGGGGGUUGGAAAUUUUCGGCGGUUGGGGAUGGACUCGCGGCUUAUCAGCUUGUUGGUGGGGUAGUGGCUUACCAAGGCGUUGACGGGUAGCCGGCCUGAGAGGGUGACCGGCCACAUUGGGACUGGGAUACGGCCCAGACUCAUGCGGGAGGCAGCAGUGGGGAAUAUUGCACAAUGGGCGGAAGCCUGAUGCAGCAACGCCGCGUGCGGGAUGACGGCCUUCGGGUUGUAAACCGCUUUCGCCUGUGACGAAGCGUGAGUGACGGUAAUGGGUAAAGAAGCACCGGCUAACUACGU